rnacentral:rRNA from 1 species
CAGCAGCCGCGGUAAUACGAAGGGGGCUAGCGUUGCUCGGAAUGACUGGGCGUAAAGGGCGCGUAGGCGGAUUGUUUAGUUAGGCGUGAAAUUCCUGGGCUUAACCUAGGGACUGCGCUUAAUACAGGCAGUCUAGAGUGAGGAAGAGGGUUGUGGAAUUCCCAGUGUAGAGGUGAAAUUCGUAGAUAUUGGGAAGAACACCGGUGGCGAAGGCGGCAACCUGGUCUGUAACUGACGCUGAGGAGCGAAAGCGUGGGGAGCGAACAGGAUUAGAUACCCCUGUAGUCCCUGUCUCUUAUAC